rnacentral:tRNA from 1 species
GGGCCUAUAGCUCAGCUGGUUAGAGCGCUUCUCUGAUAAGGAAGAGGUCCCUGGUUCAAGUCCAGGUAGGCCCA